UGGGGAAUAUUGCACAAUGGGCGCAAGCCUGAUGCAGCCAUGCCGCGUGUAUGAAGAAGGCCUUCGGGUUGUAAAGUACUUUCAGCGGGGAGGAAGGCGAUAAGGUUAAUAACCUUGUCGAUUGACGUUACCCGCAGAAGAAGCACCGGCUAACUCCGUGCCAGCAGCCGCGGUAAUACGGAGGGUGCAAGCGUUAAUCGGAAUUACUGGGCGUAAAGCGCACGCAGGCGGUCUGUCAAGUCGGAUGUGAAAUCCCCGGGCUUAACCUGGGAACUGCAUUCGAAACUGGCAGGCUAGAGUCUUGUAGAGGGGGGUAGAAUUCCAGGUGUAGCGGUGAAAUGCGUAGAGAUCUGGAGGAAUACCGGUGGCGAAGGCGGCCCCCUGGACAAAGACUGACGCUCAGGUGCGAAAGCGUGGGGAGCAAACAGG
rnacentral:rRNA from 1 species